UACGUAGGGGGCUAGCGUUGUCCGGAAUCAUUGGGCGUAAAGGGUGCGUAGGCGGUCGCGCAAGUCGGAUGUGAAAUCUUAGGGCUCAACCCUGAAACUGCAUUCGAUACUGCGUGGCUCGAGUACUGGAGAGGAGACUGGAAUUUACGGUGUAGCAGUGAAAUGCGUAGAUAUCGUAAGGAAGACCAGUGGCGAAGGCGAGUCUCUGGACAGUUACUGACGCUGAGGCACGAAGGCCAGGGGAGCAAACGGG
rnacentral:rRNA from 1 species